CCCCCGGGUGCACGUUUUGGUUUUUACCCUAGCACUACACAGCUGAUUAAAUUAUCCAAGCUUGAUGAGUUGGUUAUGAUGAGUUGGUUAUGUGAAUCAGCUGUGUAGUGUUAGGGCAAAAACCAAAAUGUGCACCCAGGGGGGGCCCCAGACCCGAGUUUGGGAAACCCUGGUUUAGAGGUAGAUCAAGCUCACCGAUGUAAAGUUAGGACAGAAAAUCAGGACAGAUUACAUUUGAGUCAUUUAGCAGACACUCCUACCCACUGGGACAAUCAGUGCAUUCUAUGAGGUAGCAUUCAACUAAGGUAGGUAAAACCAUAUGAUUAAAAUGACUAGAACGGACAUGGGCCUAAUCUAAUUAAAUGGUACCUUAGUUAAAACAGCCUAUCAGAUCAUACCUCUGCAACAUCAGCCCCUUCUGUCCCCUGAUUGACCGAAGCAAGAAGCCUGGACAGUCUGCUCCCUCCAAGAAACAAUCUCCUCACCAUCACCUUAACAUCUCCUACAAGUUACUAUCUGUCAACUGUCUGUUGUCCUGUUGAUUUAGUCUCCUAGUCUGUUUAUUCAGGUCAAGUCUUUUCAAUUCAAUAUUAAUACCCAAGGGGCAAUUAGAAAGGCAUUGUCAGUGUGUGGAGACCCAUUAUGCUAUAUACUGUAGUUGCCUGGCAAAGACAAAGGUAGGAACAGAUAGCCACCAUUAUGGCUACUAUUGACUAGUAGGUUGAGAAUGCAAUGUGUUGCCUAACUUCUAUCUUUCUUGUGUCUGUUUGGUGACUACCCACGGUGUCUAGGAGAGGGCAGUCCAUUCAGCUCUUCCCAGCCUGCCAUAAUGAAGCCACCUCAACUAAAGGCCCCAAAGCCACCAGACUAUUCUAACGGAUCCAGCUUCAGUAAACCUCCUACUCCUCCUUCAAAUGUCCCCAACACAAAACAAGGCACAUGGAAGUAUGGAGGACUAGUGACCAGAGGCCAGCCUGAAGCAUCUCUCAGAUGGGUUAACAAGGUCAGGAAUCCCCCACUCCUGGUGGGCCUCACUAACACACACACACACACACACACACACACACACACACACACACACACACACACACACACACACACACACACACACACACACACACACACACACACACACACACACACACACACACACACACACACACACACACACACACACACACACACACACACACACACAGUGUGUGUAUCAACGUAGCUGUGUGUGUUUCAGGAUGGAGUGUUUCUGGUGAGGGUCAGUUCCAAGGCUCUUCUGAGCAGUCCUACACCCUCAUGGUGAUGAACCAAGGCUCUUCUGAGCAGUCCUACACCCUCGUGGUGGAUGGUACCGAUGUCAUGUCAAAGUCAGAGUGUUUUACAGUACACACACACUCACAAACUCUUCUGAAUACCAGGCUUCUUCAUAUAUAUAUAUAUAUAUGGAGCAGUAUGACAAACUUUUACCUUGUCUCUAUAUGUAGCACAUGUGCUAUAUAUAGAGAUCCAUCAUUUUGGGGUGGCAGGUAGCCUAGUGGUUAGAGCCUUGGGCCAGUAACUGAAAGGUUGCUGGAUCGAAUCCCUGAGCUGACAAGGUAAAAGUUUUCUGCCCCUGAACAAAGCAGUUAACCCACUGCCAUCAUUGUAAAUAAGAAUUUGUUCUUAACUGGUGCCUAGUUAAAUAAAAUUUAAAAAAAAUCAUGCUUUUUCUCUUUCUCUGCAUUUUCAUUAGAAGAUUCAACAGCUUUUUCAUGGCUACACUUACUCCAGCAUCAGACACACCACAUCACGGUUAUUAUAAACCACUGACUGAUACAGUACACGCACGCAGCGAAGCACAUCCCAUGGGCAUGUGUGACACGUACUCCUCAGCCUGAAGUGUCCCGCUUGCGUCACCUCAUUAGCUAGCUUUUGAGGUGUCGCGAUCGGCUAAGACGUUUGCGGGUGAACGGUCACGUGUGUUUGGGAGGCAGAAGUCCCGAGUUCGCACCGGGUAUGGGUUGAAGUGGUACUCGCUAAGCAAGCAGCGUGACGUCCUUUAAACGCACACGUGACCAUGUCCAAACCAACUGUAUUUAUAUGUGGGUGACUAUAAUUUCCACCCUCUGUAACGGACCGAUUAAAUGGUCUCAGUAAAAUACUUUCAAGGAGGUUUUUGUGUGGUUAAGACUUGCUUAAGGGACCAGAGUUGCUUCACAAUUGUUACUUUAUCUGAAUAUGAAUUUAAAUAGAUUUGACUUUGGACUUGAAUGGUGGGAAACUUCUGAAGAUCGCUCUCUGUCAUCUUCUGUAAUGGUAGAGUUACAGCAUAGAUCAUUAAAUAAAUGUAAUUGAUCAUCUUAGUUUUAUCACAGAAAAAAAGAUUCAUGAAAGCAAGAGCAACUGCACAUACACACACCUACAUACAAAACCAACGAACCCUCACGCACCCACAAAUACACACACACACAUUCUCAACACCAGCACAACCCCUCACACCAAUGCACACUCACACACCAGUGUUAUGUUCGAGUCUGAGUCAAGACCAAGACCGGGGGGUACCGAGUCAAGUUCAAG